rnacentral:rRNA from 1 species
AUUGAACGCUGGCGGCAGGCCUAACACAUGCAAGUCGAACGGUAACAGGAAGAAGCUUGCUUCUUUGCUGACGAGUGGCGGACGGGUGAGUAAUGUCUGGGAAACUGCCUGAUGGAGGGGGAUAACUACUGGAAACGGUAGCUAAUACCGCAUAACGUCGCAAGACCAAAGAGGGGGACCUACGGGCCUCUUGCCAUCGUAUGUGCCCAGAUGGGAUUAGCUAGUAGGUGGUGUAACGGCUCACCUAGGCGACGAUCCCUAGCUGGUCUGAGAGGAUGACCAGCGACACUGGAACUGAGCCACGGUCCAGACUCCUACGGGAGGCAGCAGUGGGGAAUAUUGCACAAUGGGCGCAAGCCUGAUGCAGCCAUGCCGCGUGUAUGAAGAAGGCCUUCGGGUUGGAAAGUACUUUCAGCGGGGAGGAAGGGAGUAAAGUUAAUACCUUUGCUCAUUGACGGUACCCGCAGAAGAAGCACCGGCUAACUCCGUG